GUGGAUUAGAUACCCUGGUAGUCCACGCCGUAAACGAUGUCGACUUGGAGGUUGUUCCCUUGAGGAGUGGCUUCCGGAGCUAACGCGUUAAGUCGACCGCCUGGGGAGUACGGCCGCAAGGUUAAAACUCAAAUGAAUUGACGGGGGCCCGCACAAGCGGUGGAGCAUGUGGUUUAAUUCGAUGCAACGCGAAGAACCUUACCUACUCUUGACAUCCACGGAACUUAGCAGAGAUGCUUUGGUGCCUUCGGGAACCGUGAGACAGGUGCUGCACGGCCGUCGCCAACU
rnacentral:rRNA from 1 species